GACGAACGCUGGCGGCGUGCUUAACACAUGCAAGUCGAGCGGUAAGGCCCUUUCGGGGGUACACGAGCGGCGAACGGGUGAGUAACACGUGGGUGACCUGCCCUCAGCUCUGGGAUAAGCCUGGGAAACCGGGUCUAAUACCGGAUAUGACUCCAUGACGCAUGUUGUGGGGUGGAAAGCCUUGUGCGGCUGAGGAUGGGCCCGCGGCCUAUCAGCUUGUUGGUGGGGUGAUGGCCUACCAAGGCGACGACGGGUAGCCGGCCUGAGAGGGCGACCGGCCACACUGGGACUGAGACACGGCCCAGACUCCUACGGGAGGCAGCAGUGGGGAAUCUUGCGCAAUGGGCGAAAGCCUGACGCAGCGACGCCGCGUGAGGGAAGAAGGCCU
rnacentral:rRNA from 1 species